rnacentral:rRNA from 1 species
AUUGAACGCUGGCGGCAUGCUUUACACAUGCAAGUCGAACGGUAACAGGCCUUCGGGUGCUGACGAGUGGCGAACGGGGGAGUAAUGCAUCGGAACGUACCCAGAGGUUGGGGAUAACGCAUCGAAAGCUGUGCUAAUACCUCAUGUGAGCUGAGGAUGAAAGCGGGGGACCGAGCAGCAAUGUUUGGCCUCGCGCCUUUGGAGCGGCCGAUGUCGGAUUAGCUAGUUGGGGGGGUAAAGGCCUACCAAGGCGACGAUCCGUAGCUGGUCUGAGAGGACGACCGGCCACACUGGGACUGAGACACGGCCCAGACUCCUACGGGAGGCAGCAGUGGGGAAUUUUGGACAAUGGGCGCAAGCCUGAUCCAGCAAUGCCGCGUGAGGGAAGAAGGCCUUCGGGUUGUAAACCGCUUUUGGCAGGAACGAAACGGUGUCCGCUAAUACCGGGCGCUCAUGACGGUACCUGCAGAAUAAGCACCGGCUAACUACGUG